rnacentral:rRNA from 1 species
UACGUAGGUGGCAAGCGUUGUCCGGAUUUAUUGGGUUUAAAGGGUACGUAGGUGGUCUAUUAAGUCAGUGCUGAAAUAUCCCGGCUUAACCGGGAGGGUGGCAUUGAUACUGAUGGACUUGAGUAAAGUUGAGGUGGGCGGAAUUGACGGUGUAGCGGUGAAAUGCUUAGAUAUCGUCAAGAACACCUAUUGCGAAGGCAGCUCACUAAGCUUUAACUGACACUGAGGCACGAAAGUGUGGGGAUCGAACAGG